rnacentral:rRNA from 1 species
UACGGGAGGCAGCAGUGGGGANNAUUGGGCAAUGGGCGAAAGCCUGACCCAGCAACGCCGCGUGAAGGAAGAAGGUCUUCGGAUUGUAAACUUCUUUUAUGAGGGACGAAGGAUGUGACGGUACCUCAUGAAUAAGCCACGGCUAACUACGUGCCAGCAGCCGCGGUAAU